rnacentral:lncRNA from 1 species
GCAAAGGGAACAGCUAUGGCACCUUGGGGAGUUCUCAAAUUAUCAAAAAGGACAUGCACAUAAACACAUUCUCCUCCAUGCCGACAGCCAGUUUCUCUCCCACUUGAAGCCACUUCUCCAGAAAUCACAGUGCCAAGAAGCCAAAGGCUCCCCAGCAGAGACUGAGAGCUUGCAGGCUGAGGACAAUCUUUCUCUGAGAUGAAGGCGACCCCUAGUGGCUUGAGGAGAAAUUAAGGACCGAGUCUUUUUAUUCAGAGCCAUGAGUUCUGGCUGCUGUAGGCUGGAACACGAAAGAAGCUAAUUGUUUCAGCUCUUGCCUUAGAGGGGCACACAGCUAAAAACCCUGGUCCCUGGAGUGAACACAGAGGUCAUAAGAAAGCCACAUUGACAAGUGGCCCUGCUGGAUGCUCUAUCCAAAUAGAAGCUUAUGGGUACCCCUCCCCCCUUUAAAGAACACCGAGGGAAAUGAAUUCUUGCUCCAGGCUGUCAAUCCUGUUGGUGAAAAGGAAUUAUGCUCUGUCUGGGCAAUAAAAGGAAGAGCAGUCACAAAGGGGAUGGACAAUAUGAAAAAGACACGACUCUCAGGCCUGUCAUCUUGGGACUGGGAGACUGAGGUAGAACGACCGUGAAUUUGAGUAGCCUGGGCUACAUAGUGAGUUCAGAGACUGCCUGAGCUAAAUAGCAAAUGUCUCAAAAAAAAUGGUUCCUCUCUUAUUUAUAAAUAUUUACUUAUUUAUGUAUAUUAUAUAUUAUUCUAUUUAUUUAUAUUUACUUAUUUAUGUAUAUUAUUUUAUUUAUUUAUUUAUUCGUUUGUUUAUAGUUACUUGUUUAGAAACAGGUACUGGGGGCAUGGCUCAUGCUGCUCUCCCACUCCCAGUGCUCCUCGCCUCAGUCUCCAGGAUGCGGCAGGCACUCACCACAUGCUGUUCUCCAGCUCCACACCAGUCAACCAAAUCACUGUUCUCGCGAGAAGAGCAGAGCAGGGCAAAAAUAACAUAACAUUGCCAACUCACAGAGCGCAGAGGUAGAAUGGUUCCAGUCCACCUGCCCAGAAAUAAUCGAAAUCGAAAGCAGCCGCCAAGAGACAGGUCACACAGUCGCGAUCCCCACCCCCCAGCCCCCACCCCCGACCCUCUAAUCCGAAAUGGCUUUUCAGUGGUGGAACAGAAACUGGAAACCGGGUUCCCUGAUUCCUAAGGUGAGGAGCCUCUUGGUAGAAAUUCUGCUGAUUCAUGGACUCACAGUGUCUCGGCCACCAAGGCCCAGCCAAGUCUUUCAGGGACGCCUGUGGAUUCCAGUGAGAGACAGGCACCACAGUUACCCGGGAAGCACAGGUGCAGCUGUGUCCAUUAUUCUCGGUGUUUAGAACUAGGCGUUAUCUUAAGGAUUAAACUUUCAAGCACCAUCCAGUGUGCUUUCUUCCUUCCAAUUAGCGGUGUGUCUAGACAGAAGAGGCCAGUCAGCAAAAUUAAAUGAUAUUUAUUUAUUUAUUUAUUUAUUUAUCGUGUACACAUGUGGUUUGUUUUCCACAGGUAUGUGCAAUGUAUGUAUGUGUACAAAAAAAAAAAAAAAAAAACCAAAACCAAAACC